rnacentral:rRNA from 1 species
GACGAACGCUGGCGGCGUGCUUAACACAUGCAAGUCGAACGGAAAGGCCCUGCUUUUGUGGGGUGCUCGAGUGGCGAACGGGUGAGUAACACGUGAGUAACCUGCCCUUGACUUUGGGAUAACUUCAGGAAACUGGGGCUAAUACCGGAUAGGAGCUCCUGCUGCAUGGUGGGGGUUGGAAAGUUUCGGCGGUUGGGGAUGGACUCGCGGCUUAUCAGCUUGUUGGUGGGGUAGUGGCUUACCAAGGCUUUGACGGGUAGCCGGCCUGAGAGGGUGACCGGCCACAUUGGGACUGAGAUACGGCCCAGACUCCUACGGGAGGCAGCAGUGGGGAAUCUUCCGCAAUGGGCGAAAGCCUGACGGAGCAACGCCGCGUGAGUGAAGAAGGUCUUCGGAUCGUAAAACUCUGUUAUUAGGGAAGAACAAAUGUGUAAGUAACUAUGCACGUCUUGACGGUACCUAAUCAGAAAGCCACGGCUAACUACGUG